rnacentral:SRP_RNA from 1 species
GCUGGGUGUAGUGGCGCAUGCCUGUAGUCCCAGCUACUCGGGAGGCUGAGGCAGGAGAAUCGCUUGAACCUGGGAGGCAGAGGUUGCAGUGAGCCAAGAUUGUGCCACUGCACUUCAGCCCGGUUGACAGAGCGAGACUCUGUCUCAA